GACGAACGCUGGCGGCGUGCUUAACACAUGCAAGUCGAACGGAAAGGCCCUGCUUUUUUGGGGUUCUCGAGUGCCGAACGCGUGCGUGACACGUGAGUAACCUGCCCUUGACUUUGGGAUAACUUCAGGAAACUGGGGCUACUACCAGAUAGCAGCUCCUGCUGCAUGGUGGGGGUUGGAAAGUUGCGGCGGUUGGGGAUGGACUCGCGGCUUAUCAGCUUGUUGGUGGGGUAGUGGCUUACCAAGGGUUUGACGGGUAGCCGGCCUGGGAGGGGGACCGGGCACAUUGGGACUGAGAGACGGACCAGACUGCUACGGGGGGCAGUAGUGGGGAAUAUGGUACAGUGGGCGGAAGUGUGAUGCAGAGACGCUGGGGUUGUGAUGACGUUCUGUGGGGUGUGAACCGCUGCAGCCUGUGACGAAGCGGGAGUGACGGUAACGGGUAAAGAAGCACCGGCUAACUACGUG
rnacentral:rRNA from 1 species